AUACUUAUCUGGCAGAGAGACACCACGAUCAGGAAGAUGCAUUCCUAGAGUAAGGCUCAUCCACUGUUCUCGGGAUGUGCGGACCCCUGAGAUUUCCCCAAAUGCAGAAAUCUUGAGUGCAUGAUUGGAGGUAGUGGGGGACUGUGUUCUCUCUCUGACCUGAA
ensembl:snRNA Gm23294 U1 spliceosomal RNA